rnacentral:lncRNA from 1 species
CUCCUGCCUCGACCUCCCAAAGUGUUGGGAUUCCAGCUACCUUCCAUUAGAGCUACCUGCCAAAUUUUGGAUGGCAGCACCCCAAGAUGAAAGGAGCUUGGAUCCCCAAGUCAUUAUUUGGAGGAGAGCCUCUGCAAAGAACUGCCUGCUGUGCACUGGACUGUGAGCUCAGACUGGACCUUCAGACCAGGCACCAGCAG